GCUAAAGUGUCAGUCUGAGACCUCUAAAGCUCUGCACCCAGUCACCGCCACAAAGAAGCUUUAAAACUAGCAUGAAGACCAGCACUGGAUGGUGUGCAAGCCUCAGCUGUGCUGGUCUGAAAAUGGCUACUGUUUUCUGCAGAGUCUACAGAGGUGAUCCAAAAGAUAAAAAGUUGCCCUCUGGAAAAAACAGAACCAUAGUAUGUACUCUACUACAUUAUCUGCA
rnacentral:lncRNA from 1 species